rnacentral:ncRNA from 1 species
AUUAAAACCAAGAUAAAGGAUCAGUAAAAAUAGGUGCUGUCACACAGAGAAGAGAGAUAAGCUGAGAACUCUCCUGACAAACUGUUUUGAACCUACCUUUUAGUUUGCCUAUUAUGCACGGUUUUCAUACCGUUAUCAUGAUCUGAGAGUAAAGCAUUGCUUUGAAAUAGGGUGGUACCGCCAGAAAUGGUCCCUAUC